rnacentral:rRNA from 1 species
AGAGUUUGAUCCUGGCUCAGGAUGAACGCUAGCGACAGGCUUAACACAUGCAAGUCGAGGGGCAGCGGGGAGCGAAGCUUGCUUUGCUCCGCCGGCGACCGGCGCACGGGUGAGUAACACGUAUGCGACCUGCCCUUUACAGAGGGAUAAUCGGGAGAAAUUCCGUCUAAUACCUCAUAACACAUACCGACCGCAUGAUCGGUAUGUCAAAGGAGCGAUCCGGUAAAGGAUGGGCAUGCGGCGCAUUAGGUAGUUGGUGGUGUAACGGACCACCAAGCCGACGAUGCGUAGGGGUUCUGAGAGGAAGGUCCCCCACACUGGUACUGAGACACGGACCAGACUCCUACGGGAGGCAGCAGUGAGGAAUAUUGGUCAAUGGGCGAGAGCCUGAACCAGCCAAGUCGCGUGAGGGAAGACGGCCCUAAGGGUUGUAAACCUCUUUUGUCGGGGAGCAAGAAAGCGUACGUGUACGCUACUGAGAGUACCCGAAGAAAAAGCAUCGGCUAACUCCGUGCCAGCAGCCGCGGUAAUACGGAGGAUGCGAGCGUUAUCCGGAUUUAUUGGGUUUAAAGGGUGCGCAGGCGGAACGGAAAGUCAGCGGUAAAAUUGCGGGGCUCAACCCCGUCGAGCCGUUGAAACUGUCGUUCUAGAGUGGGCGAGAAGUAUGCGGAAUGCGUGGUGUAGCGGUGAAAUGCAUAGGUAUCACGCAGAACUCCGAUUGCGAAGGCAGCAUACCGGCGCCCGACUGACGCUCAUGCACGAAAGCGUGGGUAUCGAACAGGAUUAGAUACCCUGGUAGUCCACGCAGUAAACGAUGAAUACUAAUUGUUCGGGUCGAAUGAGGCCUGAGUGAUACAGCGAAAGCGUUAAGUAUUCCACCUGGGGGAGUACGCCCGGCCACGGGGGAAACUCAAAGGGAAUUGACGGGGGCCCGCACAGGCGGAGGAACAUGUGGUUUUUAUUCGAUGAUACGCGAGGAUCCUUUCCUGGGCUCUCGCGGACACGGGAAUAGUUUUGAAAGGAGGUAGCCAGCAAUGGCCAGUGUCGAGGUGCUGCAUGGUUGUCGUCAGCUCGUUCCGUGAGGUGUCGGCUUAAGUGCCAUAACGAGCGCAACCCCUAUCUUCAGUUGCUAACAGGUCAAGCUGAGGACUCUGGAGAGACUGCCGGUGUAAGCCGAGAGGAAAGUGGGGAUGACGUCAAAUCAGCACGGCCCUUACGUCCGGGGCUACACACGUGUUACAAUGGCAGGUACAGAGGGCAGCUACCCAGCGAUGGGAUGCGAAUCUCGAAAGCCUGUCUCAGUUCGGAUUGGAGGCUGAAACCCGCCUCCAUGAAGUUGGAUUCGCUAGUAAUCGCGCAUCAGCCAUGGCGCGGUGAAUACGUUCCCGGGCCUUGUACUCACCGCCCGUCA